rnacentral:RNase_P_RNA from 1 species
GGUGAUCGCCCGCAGGGUUUCCACCGGCGGGAGGAAAGUCCGGACUCCAAGGGCAGGGCGCUGGGUAACACCCAGGCGGAGUGAUCCGACACCGGCGCCACAGAAAACAAACCGCCGAUGGCCGAGCGGUACACCAUUCGGCUCAGGCAAGGGUGAAAUGGUGGGGUAAGAGCCCACCGCGUCUGUGGUGACAUGGACGGCACGGUAAGCGUCGCCCGGAGCAAGACCAAAUAGGAGGACGCGAGAAGCGGGCACCGGUGCCGCUUCUCAUCGGCUGGCCCGGCCGAGGUCCUCGGGUAGGUCGCAUGAAACUCGGGGUAACUCGAGUUCCAGAGAAAUGAUCAUCU